GUGCUCACUUUGGCAGUACAUGUACUAAAACCGGAAUGAUACAAAGAAGAUUAACAUGGCCUCUACACAAAGAUGACAUGCAAAUUCACGAAGCAUUCCCUAUUUUU